rnacentral:rRNA from 1 species
AUUGAACGCUGGCGGAAUGCUUUACACAUGCAAGUCGAACGGCAGCACGGGUGCUUGCACCUGGUGGCGAGUGGCGAACGGGUGAGUAACAUAUCGGAACGUGCCUAGUAAUGGGGGAUAACUAACCGAAAGGUUAGCUAAUACCGCAUACGCCCUGAGGGGGAAAGCGGGGGAUCGUAAGACCUCGCGUUAUUGGAGCGGCCGAUAUCUGAUUAGCUAGUUGGUGGGGUAAAGGCCUACCAAGGCGACGAGCAGUAGCAGGUCUGAGAGGAUGAUCUGCCACACUGGAACUGAGACACGGUCCAGACUCCUACGGGAGGCAGCAGUGGGGAAUUUUGGACAAUGGGGGAAACCCUGAUCCAGCCAUUCCGCGUGAGUGAAGAAGGCCUUCGGGUUGUAAAGCUCUUUCGGCAGGGAAGAAACGGUUCUGGAUAAUACCCGGAGCUAAUGACGGUACCUGAAGAAGAAGCACCGGCUAACUACGUGCCAGCAGCCGCCGUAA